rnacentral:rRNA from 1 species
CGAUUGAACGCUGGCGGCAUGCCUUACACAUGCAAGUCGAACGGCAGCACGGGAGCAAUCCUGGUGGCGAGUGGCGAACGGGUGAGUAAUAUAUCGGAACGUGCCCAGUAGUGGGGGAUAGCCCGGCGAAAGCCGGAUUAAUACCGCAUACGACCUGAGGGUGAAAGCGGGGGAUCGCAAGACCUCGCGCUAUUGGAGCGGCCGAUAUCAGAUUAGCUAGUUGGUGGGGUAAAGGCCUACCAAGGCUACGAUCUGUAGUUGGUCUGAGAGGACGACCAGCCACACUGGGACUGAGACACGGCCCAGACUCCUACGGGAGGCAGCAGUGGGGAAUUUUGGACAAUGGGCGCAAGCCUGAUCCAGCAAUGCCGCGUGCAGGAAGAAGGCCUUCGGGUUGUAAACUGCUUUUGUCAGGGAAGAAAUCUUCUGGGCUAAUACCCCGGGAGGAUGACGGUACCUGAAGAAUAAGCACCGGCUAACUACGUG